CUUCACCGACCCCAGCCACAACGGCCGGUCGCCGGAUCGGUCUUGGCCGUACGUGGCCAGCAACGCCUGCGCCUC
rnacentral:antisense_RNA from 1 species